AGAGUUCCUUUUUGGCUCAGGAUGAACGCUGGCGGCGUGCCUAAUACAUGCAAGUCGAGCGAACCACUUCGGUGGUGAGCGGCGAACGGGUGAGUAACACGUAGGUGAUCUGCCCAUCAGACGGGGACAACGAUUGGAAACGAUCGCUAAUACCGGAUAGGACGAAAGUUUAAAGGUGCUUCUGGCACCGCUGAUGGAUGAGCCUGCGGCGCAUUAGCUAGUUGGUAGGGUAAAGGCCUACCAAGGCGACGAUGCGUAGCCGACCUGAGAGGGUGAACGGCCACACUGGGACUGAGACACGGCCCAUACUCCUACGGGAGGCAGCAGUAGGGAAUCUUCGGCAAUGGACGAAAGUCUGACCGAGCAACGCCGCGUGAGUGAUGACGGCCUUCGGGUUGUAAAGCUCUGUCUUUGGGGACGAUAAUGACGGUACCCAAGGAGGAAGCCACGGCUAACUACGUGCCAGCAGCCGCGGUAAUACGUAGGUGGCAAGCGUUGUCCGGAAUUAUUGGGCGUAAAGAGGGAGCAGGCGGACUUUUAAGUGAGAUGUGAAAUACCCGGGCUCAACUUGGGUGCUGCAUUUCAAACUGGAAGUCUAGAGUGCAGGAGAGGAGAAUGGAAUUCCUAGUGUAGCGGUGAAAUGCGUAGAGAUUAGGAAGAACACCAGUGGCGAAGGCGACUUUCUGGACGAAAACUGACGCUGAGGCGCGAAAGCCAGGGGAGCGAACAGGAUUAGAUACCCUGGUAGUCCACGCCGUAAACGAUGAAUACUAGGUGUAGGGGUUGUCAUGACCUCUGUGCCGCCGCUAACGCAUUAAGUAUUCCGCCUGGGGAGUACGGUCGCAAGAUUAAAACUCAAAGGAAUUGACGGGGGCCCGCACAAGCGGCGGAGCAUGCGGAUUAAUUCGAUGCAACGCGAAGAACCUUACCUAGACUUGACAUCUCCUGCAUUACCCUUAAUCGGGGAAGUUCCUUCGGGGACAGGAAGACAGGUGGUGCAUGGUUGUCGUCAGCUCGUGUCGUGAGAUGUUGGGUUAAGUCCCGCAACGAGCGCAACCCUUAUUGUUAGUUGCUACCAUUUAGUUGAGCACUCUAGCGAGACUGCCCGGGUUAACCGGGAGGAAGGUGGGGAUGACGUCAAAUCAUCAUGCCCCUUAUGUCUAGGGCUACACACGUGCUACAAUGGCAAGUACAAAGAGAAGCAAGACCGCGAGGUGGAGCAAAACUCAAAAACUUGUCUCAGUUCGGAUUGUAGGCUGAAACUCGCCUACAUGAAGCUGGAGUUGCUAGUAAUCGCGAAUCAGCAUGUCGCGGUGAAUACGUUCCCGGGCCUUGUACUCACCGCCCGUCA
rnacentral:rRNA from 1 species